UUCGCUAACAUUUUAAAAACACCUCGGCUAAUUUUACCCCUCGUGACCUAAUACUGUCCAAUAGAAACUCGAUGCAGUCGCCAUCACUAACUGGGAGGCAGUGGGAAAAAACUCUUGUCCUUCGACAUCGCGACUUGAAAGCUUCUAGCCAUGAUACAAAUAUAGUUAAUUUUUUAAAGAACUGGCCUUUAUAUUCGCAUGCUAAUGCCAAAGACUUGAUUGACAUUGAUUUUCGCUUGCUAUUUCCUGGAAAAGUUUGCUAUAUAGUAAAUGGGCGGAUUUUAAAAGAAGAUAAAAUCAUUUUAUCGAACAAAUAUAAAUGAUAAAUCCUGCAAAUUAUUAUUCUCAUCUUUAAAUGACAAAUCUGAAACAAAUGUUGAAGAUUAUAUCUUGGCCACAUUAUUAAACUCGAUUAUUCUACCAACUAGUCGGUUUCCAGUAGAAGUUUAGUUUCCAGUAGAUAGU
rnacentral:lncRNA from 1 species